UGUUAAAAUUUUCAUCCAUUUUUAUUAUUAAAACUAGCAUGAUAACGAAAUAACUGGACAAUUACAUGUGGCGUGCCACGUGUACCUUAUACUGAUGUACAAAGACAUGUUUUAACUGUAAAAAUGGAUGUAAUCUUUAAUA
rnacentral:pre_miRNA from 1 species